rnacentral:lncRNA from 1 species
AUGAAAAGGAACAGAGAUUUCUCCAUUUCACCAUGGAAAGUCUGGCAAAAUGACAGCAACGAUGAAAGACGGACAGACACAGGUUUUAUCUUUAUUGCCCACAGUGUGGGAAACUGUUACACAUAUAUACCACAAAGUCUGUUUCCAAGCUUGAAAGUGAAGGGCUUGAAGAAACAAACCAAGCCAACCAGGCAAACGCAUGUUUUCAGAGAUUUCCCCGAAAUGCUGUUGACCCUGGGAAGGAGCUUUGUUGCUCUCGCAGGGAAGCUGCUGCUGAGAACAGCAAGAUGUUAG